rnacentral:rRNA from 1 species
UACGGGGGGAGCAAGCGUUGUCCGGAUUUAUUGGGCGUAAAGAGCGUGUAGGCGGCCAGGUAGGUCUGGUGUGAAAACUCGAGGCUUAACCUCGAGAUGUCAUCGGAAACCAUCUGGCUAGAGUCCGGAAGAGGAGAGUGGAAUUCCUGGUGUAGCGGUGAAAUGCGCAGAUAUCAGGAAGAACACCAAUGGCGAAAGCAGCUCUCUGGGACGGUACUGACGCUGAGACGCGAAAGCGUGGGGAGCGAACAGG